rnacentral:rRNA from 1 species
UACGAAGGGGGCGAGCGUUGUUCGGAUUUACUGGGCGUAAAGGGCUCGUAGGCGGCCAACUAAGUCAUACGUGAAAUCCCUUAGCUUAACUGGGGAACUGCGUGUGAUACUGGAUGGCUUGGAUUUGGGAGAGGGAUGCGGAAUUCCAGGUGUAGCGGUGAAAUGCGUAGAUAUCUGGAGGAACACCGGUGGCGAAGGCGGCAUCCUGGACCAACAUUGACGCUGAGGAGCGAAGGCCAGGGGAGCAAACGGG